CCUACGGGUGGCAGCAGUGAGGAAUAUUGGUCAAUGGUCGGGAGACUGAACCAGCCAAGCCGCGUGAGGGAUGAAGGUACAGAGUAUCGUAAACCUCUUUUGUCAGGGAACAAAGGCGGGGACGUGUCCCCGGAUGAGUGUACCUGAAGAAAAAGCAUCGGCGAACUCCGUGCCAGCAGCCGCGGUUAUACGGAGGAUGCGAGCGUUUUCCGGAUUUUUUGGGAUUAAAGGGUGCGCAGGAGGUCUAUUAAGUCAGCGGUCAAAGCUCGGGGCGAAAACCCGGCCCGCCGGGGAAACGGGUGUUGUUGAGUGGGAGAGAAGUAGGGGGAAAGCGUGGUGUAGCGGUGACAUGAAUAGAUAUCACGCAGAACUCCGAGUGCGAAGGAAGCAUACCGGCGCCAAACUGACGCUGAGGCACGAAAGCGUGGGUAUCGAACAGGAUUAGAUA
rnacentral:rRNA from 1 species